rnacentral:rRNA from 1 species
AUUGAACGCUGGCGGCAUGCCUUACACAUGCAAGUCGAACGGCAGCAUGGGUGCUUGCACCUGAUGGCGAGUGGCGAACGGGUGAGUAAUGCAUCGGAACGUACCCGGAAGUGGGGGAUAACGUAGCGAAAGUUACGCUAAUACCGCAUAUUCUGUGAGCAGGAAAGAGGGGGAUCGCAAGACCUCUCGCUUUCGGAGCGGCCGAUGUCGGAUUAGCUAGUUGGCGGGGUAAAGGCCCACCAAGGCAACGAUCCGUAGCGGGUCUGAGAGGAUGAUCCGCCACACUGGGACUGAGACACGGCCCAGACUCCUACGGGAGGCAGCAGUGGGGAAUUUUGGACAAUGGGGGCAACCCUGAUCCAGCCAUGCCGCGUGAGUGAAGAAGGCCUUCGGGUUGUAAAGCUCUUUCGGCUGGGAAGAAAUCGCAUCUCCUAAUACGGGGUGUGGAUGACGGUACCAGCAUAAGAAGCACCGGCUAACUACGUGCCAGCCGCCGCAGUAA